rnacentral:rRNA from 1 species
UACGGGGGGUGCGAGCGUUGUUCGGAAUUAUUGGGCGUAAAGGGCGCGCAGGCGGUUUUUUAAGUCUGAUGUGAAAGCCCCGGGCUUACCCCGGGAAGUGCAUUGGAUACUGGGAGACUUGAGUACGGGAGAGGAGAGCGGAAUUCCUGGUGUAGGGGUGAAAUCCGUAGAUAUCAGGAAGAACAUCGGUGGCGAAGGCGGCUCUCUGGACCGAUACUGACGCUGAGGCGCGAAAGCAUGGGGAGCAAACAGGAUUAGAUACCCUGGUAGUCCAUGCCGUAAACGAUGAGUACUAGGUGUUGCGGGUAUUGACCCCUGCAGUGCCGUAGCUAACGUGAUAAGUACUCCGCCUGGGAAGUACGGCCGCAAGGCUAAA